UACGUAGGGGGCUAGCGUUGUUCGGAAUCACUGGGCGUAAAGCGCACGUAGGCGGAUGUGUCAGUCAGGGGUGAAAUCCCGGAGCUCAACUUCGGAACUGCCUCUGAUACAGCACGUCUUGAGUUCGAGAGAGGUGGGUGGAAUUCCUAGUGUAGAGGUGAAAUUCGUAGAUAUUAGGAAGAACACCGGUGGCGAAGGCGGCCCACUGGCUCGAUACUGACGCUGAGGUGCGAAAGCGUGGGGAGCAAACAGG
rnacentral:rRNA from 1 species